AAUAAUAGUCAGAAAUGGGGAACACCGAACAUGUAGAUAUAUACGUUGCCCUAAAACGUGCAUGUCUGGUGGUCGAUCGGCGUCGGAUUCUGUGCAGCGUGGUUUAGAUGAAGCCUUGCCAAAGUUACGUAGUUUCUGACACGUGUCUUUAUAGGGUUGUAGGGACACGUGUCUGAAUGGAAUUGCAAGUGUAUAGUUUCUUUGUGACACAGAACAGAAGUUUAUGGGAGUUAAUUGUUUGUUUGGGAAGCUUUUUGUCCUCUAAUUUAGUCAAUCUUUAUUGUUACAGGUUCAUCGUAGAAUGAACAGUAGCAGCUGGCAAAAGCUGUCAAGAACUAAGAGUUUGGUGUAAGAGAUGAGAGAAUAGGUCAAAAGCUGUCAGAAAUUGUGUAUUUUUUUAAUUUAAUUUUAAUUAUUCUUUUAAGUUUGAUUAAUG
rnacentral:lncRNA from 1 species